GAAGAUCACAUGGUGGCUAUGGUGGUGAUCCAGAUCGAUAUUUGGACACCAACGACGAAGAUCUUCAAAACUUGGUUGAUGAGGAGAUGAAUAGGUCUCAUCGAUCAGUUCAAGAUGAAGAUUUAAGUAUUUCCGACGACGAAGAAUAUGAUCAUGGGGAAGAUGGUGUUGAAGAAGAGGAAGGCGCAAUGCAUGAUGAUAACUAC
rnacentral:lncRNA from 1 species